rnacentral:lncRNA from 1 species
AAAGCCAUGAAAUCUCUACGGCUGCCCCAGGAUGUGACAACUCAUAAUAUUCUAGGACCUAAGACUUCAUAAAAUAGCUGUCAAAUAAACACAUUGCUAGGAGGAUCACCUCAACCUGUAGGAGCUUCCUUCCUGCCAAGAAGCUGGUUCAUUCACCACUGAGCAUCAUCAUCAUGGAAUAUUCAGAGAUGAACAGUGAUGAUGAUGAUGAUAUCUACGUCCCUACUACGUGCCAGACCCUAAACAAACUGCUGUGUAAUAAUUAUUUCAUUCAUUCAUCACUGCAACCCCAUGAGGUCAGUAUUUCUGUUUCCAUUGUAAGAAAAUAAAACUUUAAGGUUAAAUUACUCCUGUAAGCUCACUCAGCAAGAAAGUAAAAGAGCUGAGAUUUGAACCAGGUCUUGUCUGGGCCUAAUACCAGUAAAUGCAACCUCUCUUGGUCUGUUUUUCCUUCUGUAAACUCCGGAUCAUAGUUGCUAUCUCAGAGGGCUGAUGGGAGGAUGAAAUAGAACAGUGUUGCAAAAUGCUUAGCGUAGAAUACCUGGUAGAAUUUUCUCUUUGGAGAUGGUAAAGAGAAGAGAAGAGAGAAG